rnacentral:rRNA from 1 species
CGAAAGUCCCGCAAGGGAUUAGUAGAGUGGCAAACGGGUGAGUAACGCGUGGGUGACCUGCCUUCGAGCGGGGGAUAACGUCCCGAAAGGGACGCUAAUACCGCAUGACAUCCUGCCUUUGAAGAGGUGGAGAUCAAAGCUGGGGAUCGCAAGACCUAGCACUUGAAGAGGGGCCCGCGUCUGAUUAGCUAGUUGGUGGGGUAAUGGCUCACCAAGGCAUCGAUCAGUAUCCGGCCUGAGAGGGCGGACGGACACACUGGGACUGAGACACGGCCCAGACUCUUACGGGAGGCAGCAGUGGGGAAUUGUUCGCAAUGGGCGCAAGCCUGACGACGCAACGCCGCGUGGAGGAUGAAGACCUUCGGGUCGUAAACUCCUUUCGAUCGAGACGAAUGGCUUCCGGGUGAACAAUCCGGGAGAGUGACGGUACCGAGAGAAGAAGCCCCGGCUAACUCCGUGCCAGCAGCCGCGGUAAUACGGGGGGGGCAAGCGUUGUUCGGAAUUACUGGGCGUAAAGGGCUCGUAGGUGGCCAACUAAGUCAGACGUGAAAUCCCUCGGCUUAACCGGGGAACUGCAUCUGAUACUGGAUGGCUUGAGAUUGGGAGAGGGAUGCGGAAUUCCAGGUGUAGCGGUGAAAUGCGUAGAUAUCUGGAGGAACACCGGUGGCGAAGGCGGCAUCCUGGACCAACACUGACACUGAGGAGCGAAAGCC